rnacentral:rRNA from 1 species
UACGAGGGGUGCAAGCGUUAUUCGGAAUUACUGGGCGUAAAGGGUGUGUAGGUGGUGUAUUAAGUCUGUUGUUAAAUCUCCUGGCUCAACCGGGAAAUCGUGACGGAAACUAAUACGCUAGAGUGUGAGAGAGAGAAGUGGAAUUCUCGGAGUAGCGGUAAAAUGCGUAGAUAUCGAGAGGAACACCGAUGGCGAAAGCAGCUUCUUGGCUCACUACUGACACUGAAACACGAAAGCGUGGGGAGCAAAC